rfam:Daucus carota subsp. sativus cultivar DH1 chromosome 7, whole genome shotgun sequence.
GCUGCUGUGAUGAGGCUAAGCACCUAUUUGGUGUGUUAGGGUAGUGGACAAGGCUUGAUGGUCUUGCCGUGAUCCCGCUAUUAAACGACUUCUCCUUCCACUGAGCGGA